rnacentral:tRNA from 1 species
GCGGAAUUAGCACAUCGGUAGUGCGCGAGCUUCCCAAGCUUGAAAGGCGGGUUCGACUCCCGUAUUCCGCUCUA